AUUGAACGCUGGCGGCAGGCCUAACACAUGCAAGUCGAGCGGUAGAGAGAAGCUUGCUUUUCUUGAGAGCGGCGGACGGGUGAGUAAUGCCUAGGAAUCUGCCUGGUAGUGGGGGAUAACGUUCGGAAACGGACGCUAAUACCGCAUACGUCCUACGGGAGAAAGUGGGGGAUCUUCGGACCUCACGCUAUCAGAUGAGCCUAGGUCGGAUUAGCUAGUUGGUGAGGUAAUGGCUCACCAAGGCGACGAUCCGUAACUGGUCUGAGAGGAUGAUCAGUCACACUGGAACUGAGACACGGUCCAGACUCCUACGGGAGGCAGCAGUGGGGAAUAUUGGACAAUGGGCGCAAGCCUGAUCCAGCCAUGCCGCGUGUGUGAAGAAGGUCUUCGGAUUGUAAAGCACUUUAAGUUGGGAGGAAGGUCAGUAGCUUAAUACGUUGCUGAUUUGACGUUACCGACAGAAUAAGCACCGGCUAACUCUGUGCCAGCCGCCGCGGUAA
rnacentral:rRNA from 1 species